AAGGUGCUGUAUAUAUUCACAUUGAAAUUCUUAAGAAUACAGUGAAAAAAAUAAUAACUUGACAUCUUAGUAGAAGCACGUGUUUUCUUGGGAUGAUGUGAGGAUAGAUGCUAGCUCCGGAGAGAAUGACAGGACGGCGGGGAGGGGUAAGAGAAACUGUUUGAAUCUGAUCUGGGUUUUCAGAGUCUGUCCUCAUAAUCUCCCGGUCUUUCAGUGGCAGUAUGAACUUUGUGUGGCAAUUUAAAUUGAGUGCAAUCGUUAUCUGCCUCUUAGAAUCUUUAAUAUGAGAACAUUUAACAUGUGAGACCUUACAACAGUGUUCUAGUAUAAUCUGAACAAAACGUCAGUUUUUUCUUUAUUAUGAUUUGAGUGUGAAUGAUUGCCAUAAUCUGUUAAAUUUCCUCUCUGAGAGAAAGCAAGCAAAGUCGAUCUUUUUGCCUUUUUUUGCUUUCAAAUGCAUUCGGAGGCAAUACACACAUUUUUAUAGACAGAUUUUAUUUCAUUUAGUCAACGUUUAUUUAGUACUUGCGUAGCUGGGAAGUGCGUGGGUUUGGGUGGGAUUGUGUUAGACAUCCUCUCCUCUGCUCCUGCCUCUUUCUCAUCUAUAGACAUGGUCCUGCUUUCUCAUUUAUAGAUACAUUUGCCUCCCUGCCUCAUCUGAUUUGAAUCUCCUUCAUUCCAUAUGUGCCAGGCACGUAAAAGGUGUCGAUACGUCAUUUUGUUGUCAUUGCUCUGAAGCUUGAAUGCUUAGGGAAAGUUUUGAUGUCUCGUUCUCUCUCCAGCCCUCUGAUCCCAAAGUGUCCAGACAAGAUAGUGGGGGAGAGCUCUAGACCACAGGCACAUGACACGGUCAGCGAGGGACUUAAUCCCUCUCCCCGCCUCCCGCCCCCAGUCUCGUGCAGUCUGAAUGGGUGACUCCACGUGGAGCACCGAGGACAGCAGCCGGCACCUAAGAAGUUUCCGUGAAGGCAGCUAUUAGUAUUGACGUUAUUCCAUGGUUCUGUCGUCUGUCCUUCGGGGUGUUUCUUGUGUUUCUCCUUACUCUCUCUGACAUUUGAUUAAUUUUCUUUCAUUUUAGACAUACGCCAGGAUUUUGUCUGGAAUGUAUUCUCAUAAAAUAUAGUAUUUUCGUGUGUGAGACUUUUAAUUUUUAUUCUUUUGAGACUUUUUAUUUUUAUGUGUAAAAUAGAGAAAACAAAACUUAACAUCUUACCUUUUUUUAAGUGUACAGUUCGGCAACAGUAAGUAUAUUCACUCUGUUGAGCGAUCUCGCCAUCACCGAUCCCCAGAACUGGGAGCUAGGGUGAGCUUGACUGUGAAAGGGAAUGUGGGAAGUUUUGGGGUGAUGGAAAUACUCUCUAUCUUAACAGCGAUGUGAGGGUAUUUACAUGAUGUACCAUGUGUCAGUACUCAUCGAACUGGAAGCUUAAAGCCGUUCCAUUUUCUUACAUAUAAAUUAUUCCUCAAAGAUAACUCAUAAGGAAAAACAGAAUAAAAACUAAUAGAAGAAAAAAUAACUAAGUGUGAAGUGAGAAGGAUAGAGUAUAAGUAGGAUCAGUUAUCCUCUUUCCUAGCAGGGACUUCAUAGAUAAUGUUUUAUUGUUUAUUUAUUUGUUAAUAGAUAAUGUUUUAAAUUGAUAUAUCAAUGAAUAGCAA